UUGAAUGGUCUUUGACCUUCUACCCUUCAAACCCGUGGAAGUGAAUAUCGUGCUUCGGCGUCCCUCUGGGGUCGCCGCUUUUAUGCGGAAACAUGUGUGUCGUCUGAAUGGAUACAAUAAAAUCA
rnacentral:misc_RNA from 1 species